rnacentral:rRNA from 1 species
UGGGGAAUUUUGGACAAUGGGGGGAAACCCUGAUCCAGCCAUCCCGCGUGUGCGAUGAAGGCCUUCGGGUUGUAAAGCACUUUUGGCAGGAAAGAAACGUCGCGGGUUUAAUACCCCGCGAAACUGACGGUACCUGCAGAAUAAGCACCGGCUAACUACGUGCCAGCAGCCGCGGUAAUACGUAGGGUGCAAGCGUUAAUCGGAAUUACUGGGCGUAAAGCGUGCGCAGGCGGUUCGGAAAGAAAGAUGUGAAAUCCCAGAGCUUAACUUUGGAACUGCAUUUUUAACUACCGGGCUAGAGUGUGUCAGAGGGAGGUGGAAUUCCGCGUGUAGCAGUGAAAUGCGUAGAUAUGCGGAGGAACACCGAUGGCGAAGGCAGCCUCCUGGGAUAACACUGACGCUCAUGCACGAAAGCGUGGGGAGCAAACAGGAUUAGAUACCCUGGUAGUCCACGCCCUAAACGAUGUCAACUAGCUGUUGGGGCCUUCGGGCCUUGGUAGCGCAGCUAACGCGUGAAGUUGACCGCCUGGGGAGUACGGUCGCAAGAUUAAAACUCAAAGGAAUUGAC